rnacentral:rRNA from 1 species
GCCGUUGGGAGACUUGAUCUCUUAGUGGCGCAGUUAACGCGAUGAGUAGACCGCCUGGGGAGUACGGCCGCAAGGUUAAAACUCAAAUGAAUUGACGGGGGCCCGCACAAGCGGUGGAGCAUGUGGUUUAAUUCGACGCAACGCGAAGAACCUUACCAGGUCUUGACAUCCUAGAAACUUAGCAGAGAUGCUUUGGUGCCUUCGGGAAUCUAGUGACAGGUGCUGCAUGGCUGUCGUCAGCUCGUGUCGUGAGAUGUUGGGUUAAGUCCCGUAACGAGCGCAACCCUUGUCCUUAGUUGCCAGCACGUAAUGGUGGGAACUCUAAGGAGACUGCCGGUGACAAACCGGAGGAAGGUGGGGACGACGUCAAGUCAUCAUGGCCCUUACGACCUGGGCUACACACGUGCUACAAUGGCCAGUACAGAGGGCUGCAAGCCCGCGAGGGGGAGCUAAUCUCACAAAGCUGGUCGUAGUCCGGAUCGCAGUCUGCAACUCGACUGCGUGAAGUUGGAAUCGCUAGUAAUCGUGAAUCAGAAUGUCACGGUGAAUACGUUCCCGGGCCUUGUACACACCGCCCGUCACACCAUGGGAGUAGGUUGCAAAAGAAGUAGCUAGGCUAACCUUCGGGAGGCCGGUUACCACUUUGUGAUUUAUGACUGGGGUG